GACGAACGCUGGCGGCGUGCUUAACACAUGCAAGUCGAGCGGAAAGGCUCCUUCGGGGGUACUCGAGCGGCGAACGGGUGAGUAACACGUGAGUAAUCUGCCCUUCACUUGGGGAUAACCUCCGGAAACGGUGGCUAAUACCCGAUAUGACCAGCCUACGCAUGUGGUGUUGGUGGAAAGUUUUUUCGGUGGGGGAUGUGCUCGCGGCCUAUCAGCUUGUUGGUGGGGUAAUGGCCUACCAAGGCUUCGACGGGUAGCCGGCCUGAGAGGGUGACCGGCCACACUGGGACUGAGACACGGCCCAGACUCCUACGGGAGGCAGCAGUGGGGAAUAUUGGACAAUGGGCGGAAGCCUGAUCCAGCAACGCCGCGUGAGGGAUGACGGCCUUCGGGUUGUAAACCUCUUUCAGCGCCGACGAAGCGAGAGUGACGGUAGGCGCAGAAGAAGCACCGGCCAACUACGUGCCAGCCGCCGCAGUAAGAC
rnacentral:rRNA from 1 species